GGGGUGGGGUGACUGCGUACCUUUUGUAUAAUGGGUCAGCGACUUAUAUUCUGUAGCAAGGUUAACCGUAUAGGGGAGCCGAAGGGAAACCGAGUCUUAACUGGGCGUUAAGUUGCAGGGUAUAGACCCGAAACCCGGUGAUCUAGCCAUGGGCAGGUUGAAGGUUGGGUAACACUAACUGGAGGACCGAACCGACUAAUGUUGAAAAAUUAGCGGAUGACUUGUGGCUGGGGGUGAAAGGCCAAUCAAACCGGGAGAUAGCUGGUUCUCCCCGAAAGCUAUUUAGGUAGCGCCUCGUGAACUCAUCUUCGGGGGUAGAGCACUGUUUCGGCUAGGGGGUCAUCCCGACUUACCAACCCGAUGCAAACUGCGAAUACCGAAGAAUGUUAUCACGGGAGACACACGGCGGGUGCUAACGUCCGUCGUGAAGAGGGAAACAACCCAGACCGCCAGCUAAGGUCCCAAAGUCACAGUUAAGUGGGAAACGAUGUGGGAAGGCUCAGACAGCCAGGAUGUUGGCUUAGAAGCAGCCAUCAUUUAAAGAAAGCGUAAUAGCUCACUGGUCGAGUCGGCCUGCGCGGAAGAUGUAACGGGGCUAAACUGUGCACCGAAGCUGCGGCAGCGACGCUUAUGCGUUGUUGGGUAGGGGAGCGUUCUGUAAGCCUGCGAAGGUGUCCUGUGAGGGAUGCUGGAGGUAUCAGAAGUGCGAAUGCUGACAUAAGUAACGAUAA
rnacentral:rRNA from 1 species